UCUUCCCUUUUCACUCCUCCUUCUCUCUUGGUCUCUUACUCUCUCUAACGUUUCAAUCCCAGGGAAAAAAAAGUCCACCAACGCCACUGCAACUGCUAGAUCUGUAACCCAUCCACCACCACCAGAUCCGUCUCACUCCCUCUCUGCUAUCUCAAUCCUACCAUGUUACAAAUGUCUUCAAGUACCUCAUAUGGAGGCUCAUAUGGAGGCUUGCAGCACAAUGAUGUUAACUUAAAGGCUAACUAAUGUACUAGUUUCAAAUGAUGUAAUUUUGAGUUUGUAAUAGAUACUACGAUGUAAUUUGAGUUUGCAAUCAUCCAAA